rnacentral:lncRNA from 1 species
CUGGGAAGUUCAAGACCAAUGCACGAGAAUUUGGUCUAAAGAGAAUCUUCUUGCUCUGAACACACAUAGUAGAAGGCAGAAGGGCAAGAGAGAGAACAAAGUCUGUGUCUCCACAUGGCAGAAGAGCAGAGGAGACAGAACCUACUCCUCUAUGGCAACCACCCCAUCAAUGACAAAAAUCCUAGAAGGAUGUAUGUAUAGGAAGUUGAAGUGUUGAGAAGAGAAUGGCUCAGAGUCAAGCGGGAACAAGAUUCAAACUUCAGAGAGAGAGGGAAGAAAAACAUUUAAAUAUAUCUGGCAUAAUCCAAGACUAUUUACGACAAGUGUUCUGUGUUUCUAAUAAUAAAACAGACUUCACCUCGGAGUACCUGCAGAACUGGGACCCCAAUGACCAGGGAGAAUGAAGAACAACUUGUUGAAGGUAUAGAGAAGGCAGCAAAUCAUACAAGAAGGUCCAUCCCAAACCAGAGAUAGUAUAGAUAAAUCUCUCAUGUUAACUAUGGAAAAAAUAAAGGAAGAUGACGUAUUUUAAUAGAAGGGAAAUUGCGCUUAUUGGGAGUAAGAACACUGAAUUGACUGAAUAUCUUAAAGAGA